rnacentral:lncRNA from 1 species
GUCGCCCCCUCCCAUCACCGGCUCCCAUCGACGCCCCUCCCCUCACCGGCUUCCGGCGACGCCCCUCCCCUCACCGGCCGUCCCCAACUCCGGUGUGUGCCUCUGAUACCCCUAUUUUCUGUUUUUCUUUUAAGUUAGAUAGUUAGUUUUUUCUGUUUUUUUCAGUUAAAUUAGAUAGUUAGUUUAUUAGGUAGAAUAAAGUAUAUAGAAAAGAACAAAAUAGAUAGAAAAGAAAAAACUUAUAAGAAAAUAAUAGAAGAAAAAAACUAGAAGAAAAAAGAAGAAGAAGAAGAAGNNGAAGAAGAAGAAGAAGAACAAGAACAACAAGAAGAACAAGAACAAGAACAAGAAGAAGAAGAAGAAGAAA